rnacentral:rRNA from 1 species
ACGGGGUAAGAACUAACAGGAUUCCCCUAGUAACUGCGAGUGAAGCGGGAAAAGCUCAAAUUUAAAAUCUGGCAGUCUUUGGCUGUCCGAGUUGUAAACUAGAGAAGUGUUAUCCGCGCUGGACCGUGUACAAGUCUCCUGGAAUGGAGCGUCAUAGAGGGUGAGAAUCCCGUCUUUGACACGGACUACCAGGGCUUUGUGAUGCGCUCUCAAAGAGUCGGGUUGUUUGGGAAUGCAGCUCAAAAUGGGUGGUAAAUUCCAUCUAAAGCUAAAUAUUGGCGAGAGACCGAUAGCGAACAAGUACCGUGAGGGAAAGAUGAAAAGAACUUUGGAAAGAGAGUUAAACAGUACGUGAAAUUGCUGAAAGGGAAACGCUUGAAGUCAGUCGCGUUGUCCAGGGAUCAACCUUGCUUUUGCUUGGUGUACUUUCUGGUUGACGGGUCAGCAUCAAUUUUGACUAUUGGAAAAAGAUUAGGGGAAUGUGGCAUCUUUGGAUGUGUUAUAGCCCUUGGUUGCAUACAAUGGUUGGGAUUGAGGAACUCAGCACGCCGCAAGGCCGGGUAAUUUUACCACGUUCGUGCUUAGGAUGCUGGCAUAAUGGCUUUAAUCGACCCGUCUUGAAACACGGACCAAGGAGUCUAACAUGCCUGCGAGUGUUUGGGUGGAAAACCCGAGCGCGUAAUGAAAGUGAAAGUUGAGAUCCCUGUCGUGGGGAGCAUCGACGCCCGGACCAGACCUUUUGUGACGGUUCCGCGGUAGAGCAUGUAUGUUGGGACCCGAAAGAUGGUGAACUAUGCCUGAAUAGGGUGAAGCCAGAGGAAACUCUGGUGGAGGCUCGUAGCGAUUCUGACGUGCAAAUCGAUCGUCAAAUUUGGGUAUAGGGGCGAAAGACUAAUCGAACCAUCUAGUAGCUGGUUCCUGCCGAGUGU